rnacentral:misc_RNA from 1 species
ACUCUCCAAUUAAAAUACAACAUAAUUCUGUUAAGAUGAGAACAGACAAUUAGAAAAUGCAGGCAAAUUUUAUUCCAAAUUUGCAUUUGCGACAGAAGAGAGGGAGUAAACUAAGGCAAACCAAGAAUGACACAAGAUAAGGAAAGAGGAUGAGAUAAAAAAAGAAUCUUAACACCUCUUGAUUAUAUGUAGAUAACUGUGAAGAUGAAAUGUUACCUAUUUCAUCUUGGUAAUUGGCAAAAAUGCACCCUAGGCAAUCCCAACAGGAAGGGAAAUGGGAGAGGGACAAAGAGAAUCAAAAUACCUUUCGAUUAUCUGUACGUAAAUG